UCAGGUUUUGCUUUGCGGUAGAAAACAGUUGAUUCUACAACAGAUGAAGAGCAAAAUAAAGGCUUUUUUAGAGCUGCAUAUGUCAUUUCAGGGAUCCUGCUGGUGCCAUUGACUCUCGCGCUGACCAUCUUUAUGUUUUGGCAUGUUUAUCUUAUUCUGCAAAACAAGACCACAAUAGAGUACCAUGAAGGUGUGAGAGUUAUGUGGCUUGCUGAAAAAAGAGAUUAUCUGUAUUCACAUCCAUAUGAUCUUGGUACUUAUGAGAAUAUGAUAUCAGUUUUAGGUCCAAAUAUCUUUUGCUGGGUAUGUCCCACCUCAGAGCAGAUUGGUUCUGGCCUUCGUUUCCGCACCAACAAUCUGAUGGUCCUA